AAUUGAGAGUGGCGAACGGGUGCGUAACGCGUAUGCAACCUACCCUAUACAGGGGGAUAGCCCGGAGAAAUCUGGAUUAAUACCCCAUGGUACCAAGUUGAGGCAUUUUGAUUUGGUUAAAGAUUCAUCGGUAUAGGAUGGGCAUGCGUCUGAUUAGCUAGUUGGCGGUGUAACGGACCACCAAGGCGACGAUCAGUAGGGGUUCUGAGAGGAAGGUCCCCCACACUGGCACUGAGAUACGGGCCAGACUCCUACGGGAGGCAGCAGUAGGGAAUAUUGGGCAAUGGACGAGAGUCUGACCCAGCCAUGCCGCGUGCAGGAAGACGGCGUUCUGCGUUGUAAACUGCUUUUAUCUGGGAAGAAAAUGCCCUUGCGAGGGAAAUUGCCGGUACCAGAUGAAUAAGCACCGGCUAACUCCGUGCCAGCAGCCGCGGUAAUACGGAGGGUGCAAGCGUUGUCCGGAUUUAUUGGGUUUAAAGGGUGCGUAGGCGGCUAUUUAAGUCAGUGGUGAAAGACUCCGGCUCAACCGGAGCAGUGCCAUUGAUACUGGAUAGCUUGAGUAUUGGAGGGGUACAUGGAAUUGAUGGUGUAGCGGUGAA
rnacentral:rRNA from 1 species